rnacentral:tRNA from 1 species
AAGGGCGUAGUCUAAUGGUAAGACGGUGGUCUCCAAAACCGCUAAUUGAGGUUCGAUUCCUUGCGCCUUUGCCA